GCCCCUUUGUUUUCCUCUCGCUCUUUUCCGAACCCUAUUCUCUUGCUGUUCCCAUUCCGAUCCCAGCCUCCUCUGAUCCUCCACUCCCAGCUUUUGGCUGGCGAUCGGAAGGCUAUUGAGUCCUGCGAUUGGAGUAGGCUGAGGCAGAUCGACGCGAUUCUGAGCCGCAUAACCCUUUCGAUCCAAAAGCAAGCCUUGUGAACAAACUUUCCUACGGAAUGAGAUGUCCCAACUUAGCUAGAAGAAUUGAGGAUGAGUUUAACAUGAUUAUACUUAUCCAUGGAACUAUGGGAAGAAAGAAGAGGAAAAAAGUAUUAUACUCGUUUUGCAUGCAAGUUGGCAUGGGAGGAAUUGGAAAAAUAUUAUUCGCAUAUAUUUUGACGUGCUGGACGUAGAUGGAGAUCACAGGAUCGAACAGAUUCAUCACCUGUUAGUGUACUUGUGCCACCCUCUAAUCAGGCAGGACCAUCACAUGUACCUUCUCCACCGUUUCAUAUUCGCCGCCAAUAGUACCAUCGCCAGUGCAGUUCCCAGUACCUACAGAUCUUCUUGACUCUGCAAGAAACUCAUUUGCUGAGUUUAGGAAUGAUAGAGCUUUUUUAGUUCCUAUCAAAAAUUCAUUUGAAAAUCUUGUACAAGUUAUUCACGAAAUUAAUAGAAUCAUGAAUAACCGUUGGGGAGGAGAAUCGAUGACAUAUUCAAACACUUCAUUGGUCACAAAACAACUAUGGUGGAGCGAGUUCAAGCGUCUAAAUAAUUGGGACCCGAAUGAUGAAAUGGAGAUCCGCAGAAUAUUUAAAAAGAAAUGUGACGAUCACAUCCGACAUGUAUUAAGUCUCACCAAGAAUCGGGGAAAAAAAGUCAAACUUCAUCAUCGAAGAAAAUUGGGAGAGGAUCUCUAACUUUUGGGCAACGCAGGAGAGUAAGCAAAGGAGUAAUUUGAAUAGAAUGGAUCAAUCUCACAAUUCUGGUGACUCAUCUGCUAUAUAUGCGGAAGGCUCCAUUAACAUAGAUGAGCAUAGACAGAAAUUAGUAAUUUUUUAACUCUUUCAAUAAUUUUUUAUCUAUAUCAAAUUAUUUCAUUAUUUGUAAUCAUGUUUUUUCUGACCAAGGAGAUGGGGAAGGAGCCCUCUUUCGUUGAUACUUUUAUCCGCACUUUUAGAAAAGAUAAGACUUGGAGUGAGACGAGAGCAAAAUCAGUAAAAGUUGGAAUUAUUAUUUAUUUGAUCUUAAUAUAUGAUUUAGAUUUAUUAGUUAUGUAUUUUCGUUGUCUUAAUAUUAUAUGUGUUUCUAUUAUAUUUAAUCAAUAUCUUAUGUGUUUUAAGAAAUAGGAAAAAUAUGAUGAACUCGAGCUAGCCCAAAUAUGCUCACAAGCUGGUGUCGAUAGUCAAGAGUCUGAGGACUCUGUUGGCAAUAAUUUGAGUUUAUGGUUUGAGGCCAAUGGAGGAUUAAAAGGGGGAAGGAUAUUGGAGAUGAGUUUCUUGAGUAGAAUCCAAAGAAUAGUUGCAACAUCUUCCUCCUCAUCAGCACUUACGAUCUAAGUAUAUAACUUAACUGAAGAGGUUAGCAAUCUGAAGGAAAUAUUAUUGUAAAGAGACCUAAAAAGGACGCAAAGAGACCUAGAAAGUGCGCAAAUGGAGUAAGAUAUGAGAGAGUUGCGUUGGCAACAGGAUUUUAUCAUGUGCCACCUUCAGUUGAGUUCCGCUCUAAGUCAGAUUCCUCCACAUGACGAUGAUGAUGGUGGCGACGAUGAUAACGAUGGUGGUGAUGAUUGUUCAUGAUUUUAAUUAUGCAUGAUCAUUAUUUGUCUCAUAAUUAGUGUUUUAAACAUUAAUCCAUGGCUUGUUAACUUUUUUAAUUUUUAUUUUAAUUAAUAUUGUUAAUUUGU